CUCACCUCAGGUGAUCCGCCUGCCUUGGCCUCCCAAUGUGUUGGGAUUACAGACGUGAGCCACCAUGCCUGGCGUUAAUAACUUUGUAAAAUGACAAUGACUGAAAACCAUUUCUAGCCUCUGCGUCGGGGCCACCAUGCCCACUGUGGUUCAAAACUCAGGCCUCUGAAUUGUUUUUCUGUAUCCUCUUCCCAUGCCACACUGGCGGCCUGAGAGAGUUUCAGUGUCUUGGCGAACAGCGAUUUGAAGCGGUAUCAGCGUUUGGAACGAAACCGGAGUCUUAAGGCCAGUCGGUUUUACCACUGAUUAACCAUGUCGCUCCUCCCUCUCUGAACCUUGGCUUUCUCAUCACUGAAAGAAGAGGUUUGGACAAGAUGAGAAAGAGAAUUGGAAAAGCACAGUCAUUUUUGAGCACCAAGAUAAAGAAGAUGGCCACAUUAAAACUUCUGCAAAAACCCCACAGAGGACCUAGUCCCUUAUGUUACUUAAUGUUCCUCAUAUAACAAUUUACGUGAAAAAAAUCCUCCUAAAAGUGCCUGAUAAAUAUGUCCCUCCAGAAGAUGUAAUAUGCGUCAUUUCAUAAAAGGCAGAAUAAACUUUCUGACACCUCA